rnacentral:vault_RNA from 1 species
GCGUCAGGUUAGCUGAGUGGUUACUUCCUACACAGUCUGACUUAAAUUCCCUCCCCCUUCCUCAGGUUUCAACCUGGGGAGUUCAAACCACUGGCGCUGUCUGGCGUUUUA